AGUGAACGCUGGCGGUAGGCCUAACACAUGCAAGUCGAACGGCAGCACAGUAAGAGCUUGCUCUUACGGGUGGCGAGUGGCGGACGGGUGAGGAAUACAUCGGAAUCUACUUUUUCGUGGGGGAUAACGUAGGGAAACUUACGCUAAUACCGCAUACGACCUACGGGUGAAAGCAGGGGAUCUUCGGACCUUGCGCGAUUGAAUGAGCCGAUGUCGGAUUAGCUAGUUGGCGGGGUAAAGGCCCACCAAGGCGACGAUCCGUAGCUGGUCUGAGAGGAUGAUCCGCCACACUGGAGCUGAGACACGGUCCAGACUCCUACGGGAGGCAGCAGUGGGGAAGGUUGGACAAUGGGCGGAAGCCUGAACCAGCCAUGCCGCGUGGGUGAAGAAGGCCUUCGGGUUGUAAAGCCCUUUUGUUGGGAAAGAAAAGCAGCAGGUUAAUACCCCGCUGUUCGGACGGUACCCAAAGAAUAAGCACCGGCUAACUGCGG
rnacentral:rRNA from 1 species